AAUGUGAUGUUCUACAGUCUUAUGAUGCAUCUGAACGUUCAUCUUCUGCAGCUCCAGAUUCAACACUGAUUCCAGUCAGCAGCUCAAACUCUGAGACGACAUCAAGCCGAACUACAGCAGCAGCUCCUACAAAAGAUAAACAGAUCAUUACCUCAAACUCUGAGACGACUACAGCUGCUCACAGACCUGCAGUUACUCCACAGAAGGUGAUUGUGAUUAUUGUAGAGUUUGCAGUGUUUGCUGCUCCUACUGUGAUUCUUCUUCAGAUCAUCUGUGAAAGAAGAGCUGGGAGGAAGGACUCGCAGCAUCCAGAGGAAAUAGAGAUUAAUACAAUAUUAGAGUAAAAUACUCCACAAAUAACAGAAUACUGCAAGAUUUAUCUUCAUGUCAAUGCUAUUACGGGUGUUUGCAUGCAACUUUCAGGAAUAUUUUCCAUACUGUACUGAAUCCUUCAAAUAUAAUAUUAAAUACAGUGAUCAACAGAGCAAGAAGGUACCUUUAAUGAACAUAAGUGAUUGUUACAGAAAUCAUAAUAUAAACACAUGGUCAUUUUCUAAUCUUGAUUCAUCUGAUCAUUACAAUAAACUUUUUACAGAAGGCUUUCUAAAUGUUGUAAUAUCCUAUUUUAGCUGAUGAUGCUACAAAUGUCUGUUAAUUAUCAUAUACGACAUAUUCACAGAUAUAUUUUGAUGUCUUUUAUAUUUUUUCACUGAUCAUUUCAAUGCAAAAUCCUUACUUAUGAAAAUAUAUGAAGGAUUUUCCCCACAGAUCACGCUUCAACAUGUUGUGAUGUCAAAUAUGUGGAAAUAUAAAGUCACGAUUUACAAACCA